CGCGCGAUACAGGGUGACAGCCCCGUACACAAAAGCGCAUGUGCUGUGAGCUCGAUGAGUAGGGCGGGACACGUGGUAUCCUGUCUGAAUAUGGGGGGACCAUCCUCCAAGGCUAAAUACUCCUGACUGACCGAUAGUGAACCAGUACCGUGAGGGAAAGGCGAAAAGAACCCCGGCGAGGGGAGUGAAAAAGAACCUGAAACCGUGUACGUACAAGCAGUGGGAGCACAGGUUUACCUGUGUGACUGCGUACCUUUUGUAUAAUGGGUCAGCGACUUAUAUUCUGUAGCAAGGUUAACCGUAUAGGGGAGCCGGAGGGAAACCGAGUCUUAACCGGGCGUUAAGUUGCAGGGUAUAGACCCGAAACCCGGUGAUCUAGCCAUGGGCAGGUUGAAGGUUGGGUAACACUAACUGGAGGACCGAACCGACUAAUGUUGAAAAAUUAGCGGAUGACCUGUGGCUGGGGGUGAAAGGCCAAUCAAACCGGGAGAUAGCUGGUUCUCCCCGAAAGCUAUUUAGGUAGCGCCUCGUGAAUUCAUCUCCGGGGGUAGAGCACUGUUUCGGCUAGGGGGCCAUCCCGGCUUACCAACCCGAUGCAAACUGCGAAUACCGGAGAAUGUUAUCACGGGAGACACACGGCGGGUGCUAACGUCCGUCGUGAAGAGGGAAACAACCCAGACCGCCAGCUAAGGUCCCAAAGUCAUGGUUAAGUGGGAAACGAUGUGGGAAGGCCCAGACAGCCAGGAUGUUGGCUUAGAAGCAGCCAUCAUUUAAAGAAAGCGUAAUAGCUCACUGGUCGAGUCGGCCUGCGCGGAAGAUGUAACGGGGCUAAACCAUGCACCGAAGCUGCGGCAGCGAACGUAUCACUUAAAGCGAUUCAGCGGAUGACGAUUGACGGAGCGAAGCGACGUCAAAGCGUAUACAAAGUCGAGUCGGUUUAAGGAUACGUUCGUUGGGUAGGGGAGCGUUCUGUAAGCCUGCGAAGGUGGCCUGUGAGGGUUGCUGGAGGUAUCAGAAGUGCGAAUGCUGACAUAAGUAACGAUAAAGCGGGUGAAAAGCCCGCUCGCCGGAAGACCAAGGGUUCCUGUCCAACGUUAAUCGGGGCAGGGUGAGU
rnacentral:rRNA from 1 species